rnacentral:rRNA from 1 species
GGUAUAGUUCUUCGGAACUAGAGACCGGCGCACGGGUGCGUAACGCGUAUGCAAUCUACCUUUUACAGAGGGAUAGCCCAGAGAAAUUUGGAUUAAUACCUCAUAGCAUAGCAGUCUCGCAUGAGAUCACUAUUAAAGUCACAACGGUAAAAGAUGAGCAUGCGUCCCAUUAGCUAGUUGGUAAGGUAACGGCUUACCAAGGCUACGAUGGGUAGGGGUCCUGAGAGGGAGAUCCCCCACACUGGUACUGAGACACGGACCAGACUCCUACGGGAGGCAGCAGUGAGGAAUAUUGGACAAUGGGCGCAAGCCUGAUCCAGCCAUGCCGCGUGCAGGAUGACGGUCCUAUGGAUUGUAAACUGCUUUUAUACGAGAAGAAACACUCCAACGUGUUGGAGCUUGACGGUAUCGUAAGAAUAAGGAUCGGCUAACUCCGUGCCAGCAGCCGCGGUAAUACGGAGGAUCCAAGCGUUAUCCGGAAUCAUUGGGUUUAAAGGGUCCGUAGGCGGUUUAGUAAGUCAGUGGUGAAAGCCCAUCGCUCAACGGUGGAACGGCCAUUGAUACUGCUAAACUUGAAUUAUUAGGAAGUAACUAGAAUAUGUAGUGUAGCGGUGAAAUGCUUAGAGAUUACAUGGAAUACCAAUUGCGAAGGCAGGUUACUACUAAUGGAUUGACGCUGAUGGACGAAAGCGUGGGUAGCGAACAGGAUUAGAUACCCUGGUAGUCCACGCCGUAAACGAUGGAUACUAGCUGUUGGAAGCAAUUUCAGUGGCUAAGCGAAAGUGAUAAGUAUCCCACCUGGGGAGUACGUUCGCAAGAAUGAAACUCAAAGGAAUUGACGGGGGCCCGCACAAGCGGUGGAGCAUGUGGUUUAAUUCGAUGAUACGCGAGGAACCUUACCAAGGCUUAAAUGUAGAUUGACCGGUUUGGAAACAGAUCUUUCGCAAGACAAUUUACAAGGUGCUGCAUGGUUGUCGUCAGCUCGUGCCGUGAGGUGUCAGGUUAAGUCCUAUAACGAGCGCAACCCCUGUUGUUAGUUGCCAGCGAGUCAUGUCGGGAACUCUAACAAGACUGCCAGUGCAAACUGUGAGGAAGGUGGGGAUGACGUCAAAUCAUCACGGCCCUUACGCCUUGGGC